rnacentral:misc_RNA from 1 species
GAUGAAGAACGCAGCGAAAUGCGAUAAGUAAUGUGAAUUGCAGAAUCCAGUGAAUCAUCGAAUCUUUGAACGCACAUUGCGCCCGCCAGCAUUCUGGUGGGCAUGCCUGUUCGAGCGCCAUUUCAACCCUCGACCUCCCUUUGGGGAAGUCGGCGUUGGGGACCGGCAGCACACCGCCGGCCCUGAAAUGGAGUGGCGGCCCGUCCGCGGCGACCUCUGCGUAGUAAUCCAACUCGCACCGGAACCCCGACGCGGCCACGCCGUAAAACACCCAACUUCUGAACGUUGACCUCGAAUCAGGUAGGACUACCCGCUGAACUUAAGCAUAUCAAUAAGCGGAGGA